rnacentral:rRNA from 1 species
AACGAACGCUGGCGGCAGGCUUAACACAUGCAAGUCGAGCGCUGUAGCAAUACAGAGCGGCAGACGGGUGAGUAACGCGUGGGAAUCUACCCAUCUCUACGGAAUAACUCAGGGAAACUUGUGCUAAUACCGUAUACGCCCUUAGGGGGAAAGAUUUAUCGGAGAUGGAUGAGCCCGCGUUGGAUUAGCUAGUUGGUGGGUAAAGGCCUACCAAGGCGACGAUCCAUAGCUGGUCUGAGAGGAUGAUCAGCCACAUUGGGACUGAGACACGGCCCAAACUCCUACGGGAGGCAGCA